rnacentral:rRNA from 1 species
CUGGAAUUCCUGGUGUAGCGGUGGAAUGCGCAGAUAUCAGGAGGAACACCGAUGGCGAAGGCAGGUCUCUGGGCCGCAACUGACGCUGAGGAGCGAAAGCAUGGGGAGCGAACAGGAUUAGAUACCCUGGUAGUCCAUGCCGUAAACGUUGGGCACUAGGUGUGGGACUCAUUCCACGAGUUCCGUGCCGCAGCUAACGCAUUAAGUGCCCCGCCUGGGGAGUACGGCCGCAAGGCUAAAACUCAAAGGAAUUGACGGGGGCCCGCACAAGCGGCGGAGCAUGCGGAUUAAUUCGAUGCAACGCGAAGAACCUUACCAAGGCUUGACAUGCACCGGACGCUGCCAGAGAUGGUGGUUCCGCAAGGUCGGUGCACAGGUGGUGCAUGGUUGUCGUCAGCUCGUGUCGUGAGAUGUUGGGUUAAGUCCCGCAACGAGCGCAACCCUUGUCCUAUGUUGCCAGCGGGUUAUGCCGGGGACUCAUGGGAGACUGCCGGGGUCAACUCGGAGGAAGGCGGGGAUGACGUCAAAUCAUCAUGCCCCUUAUGUCUUGGGCUUCACGCAUGCUACAAUGGCCGGUACAGAGGGCUGCGAUACCGUAAGGUGGAGCGAAUCCCAAAAAGCCGGUCUCAGUUCGGAUUGGGGUCUGCAACUCGACCCCAUGAAGUCGGAGUCGCUAGUAAUCGCAGAUCAGCAACGCUGCGGUGAAUACGUUCCCGGGCCUUGUACACACCGCCCGUCAAGUCACGAAAGUUGGUAACACCCGAAGCUCACGGCCCAACCGGUUUCCCGGGGAGUGCUUGUAGAGUGAUACUAAACUCCCC